rnacentral:rRNA from 1 species
UACGUAGGGUCCGAGCGUUGUCCGGAAUAAUUGGGCGUAAAGAGCGUGUAGGCGGUCCGGUAAGUCCGCUGUGAAAGUCGGGGGCUCAACCCUCGAAUGCCGGUGGAUACUGUCGGGCUAGAGUGCGGAAGAGGCGAGUGGAAUUCCUGGUGUAGCGGUGAAAUGCGCAGAUAUCAGGAGGAACACCUAUUGCGAAGGCAGCCUCCUGGGCCAGCACUGACGCUCAUGCACGAAAGCGUGGGGAGCAAACAGG